GCACUGCUUGCGGGGGCAUUGCACUGCUUAGUUGCCAGUGCAAUGGUGUGCUAUCUGGUGCAUUGGUGCUGUAUCUAGUGCACUGCU
rnacentral:tRNA from 1 species